rfam:Schistosoma mansoni strain Puerto Rico chromosome 2, complete genome
GCAUUGUUGAGGAGUGCCACAAUAGGACGAAACGGCCGUCCAGUGC